rnacentral:rRNA from 1 species
GAGGCCUACCAUGGUGGUAACGGGUAACGGGGUGUUAGGGCACGACACCGGAGAGGGAGCCUGAGAAACGGCUACCACAUCCAAGGAUGGCAGCAGGCGCGCAAAUUACCCAAUCCCGACACGGGGAGGUAGUGACAAUAAAUAACAAUACGGGGUUCUUUCGGAUCUCGUAAUUGGAAUGAGUACAAUUUAAAUCUCUUAACGAGGAACAAUUGGAGGGCAAGUCUGGUGCCAGCAGCCGCGGUAAUUCCAGCUCCAAUAGCGUAUAUUAAAGUUGUUGCAGUUAAAAAGCUCGUAGUUGAAUUUCGGGAUUAGUAGGUUGGUCAUGCCUCUGGUAUGUACUGGUCUCACUGAUUCCUCUUUCCUUAUGAACCGUAAUGCCAUUAAUUUGGUGUUGCGGGGAAUUUGGACUGUUACUUUGAAAAAAUUAGAGUGUUUAAAGCAAGCUAACGCUUGAAUACAUUAGCAUGGAAUAAUGAAAUAGGACGUUCGAUCUUAUUUUGUUGGUUUCUAGGAUUGACGUAAUGAUUAAUAGGGAUAGUUGGGGGCAUUAGUAUUCAAUUGUCAGAGGUGAAAUUCUUGGAUUUAUUGAAGACUAACUACUGCGAAAGCAUUUGCCAAGGAUGUUUUCAUUAAUCAAGAACGAAAGUUAGGGGAUCGAAGACGAUCAGAUACCGUCGUAGUCUUAACCAUAAACUAUGCCGACUAGGGAUCGGAUG